AUUGAACGCUGGCGGCAGGCCUAACACAUGCAAGUCGAGCGGAUGAAGGGAGCUUGCUCCUGGAUUCAGCGGCGGACGGGCGAGUAAUGCCUAGGAAUCUGCCUGGUAGUGGGGGAUAACGUCCGGACACGGGCGAUAAUACCGCAUACGUCCUGAGGGCGUAAGUGGGGGAUCUUCGGAUCUUACGAUAUCAGAUGAGCCUAGGUCGGAUUAGCUAGUUGGUGGGGUAAAGGCCUAACAAGGCGACGAUCCGUAACUGGUCUGAGAGGAUGAUCAGUCACACUGGAACUGAGACACGGGCCAGACUCCUACGGGAGGCAGCAGUGGGGAAUAUUGGACAAUGGGCGAAAGCCUGAUCCAGCCAUGCCGCGUGUGUGAAGAAGGUCUUCGGAUUGUAAAGCACUUUAAGUUGGGAGGAAGGGCAGUAAGUUAAUACCUUGCUGUUUUGACGUUACCAACAGAAUAAGCACCGGCUAACUUCGUG
rnacentral:rRNA from 1 species